rnacentral:rRNA from 1 species
AGGAUCAACGCUGGCGGCGUGCCUAAUGCAUGCAAGUCGUACGGGGGCGUUCGCGCUCCCCGUGGCGAACGGCUGAGGAACACGUGCGUACCUGCCCCAUCGUGGGGAAUACCGGCUGGAAACAGCCGACAAUACCGCGUACGCUUGCUCGGGGACACCCGGCCAAGGAAAGCCUUACGGCGCGGUGGGAGGGGCGCGCGGCCCAUCAGGUUGAUGGCGGGGUAACGGCCCACCAUGCCGCUGACGGGUCGCUGGUCUGAGAGGACGGCCAGCCAGACUGGGACUGCGACACGGCCCAGACACCUACGGGUGGCAGCAGCAAGGAAUCUUCCCCAAUGGGCGAGAGCCUGAGGGAGCAACGCCGCGUGGAGGAUGACGGCUUUCGGUUGUAAACUCCUUUUCGGGGGGAUGAAACGGACAGUACCCCCCGGAAUAAGCCCCGGCUAACUCUGUGCCAGCAGCCGC